CUGAAAUUUUGUGGAAGUUUCCACAAAAUAAAUAUAAAGUUACAAUAAACUCUUUGUAAAGUAGGUCUAUCUGUUAAUAAACUGAGAACAAGUCCUAAGACAGCAAACUGAGGAUGCUCCCUAAAGGCAAUCCUGGAAAAGAAGUUGCUCAAAAGUUUUCAGCAUAUUUUCCUUCAUUCCAAGAUAUUUUUGAUGAAGAAUCAUUUUAUAUUUUUGCAUUUUGCCUCACAGUUGGAUCAUUCAUUGCAGCUUUCUUAGCAUCACGCUACGUCAAAAUCAAGGAUGCUGGACAUUUAGAUUAAACAGUGGGAUCCUUUUUUUGCAACAAUAAGAACCUUUGUUAGUGGAAUUAUUCUUACUAUCACUGUUAUGUUGUAAUACUAUUUAUUAUCUGAUGUUCAGUUUGAAAUUUUCUUGGGUAGUUUCUUUUAUGAACAUUUUAACCAGCGACAAAAGUGAUAAUUAUUAAAAACUAGAAAUGUACCAUCCAUAAUGAAAUACCAAUGUUGUACAACGUAUAGUAAACCACCAAUAUAAAUAUACUUGAAUUACAUGUAUUUUUCAACCCAUGUACUUACUAAAUUUAUACUUUGUAUUCAGUCAUUUUUUCAUUAAACCUAACAAGAAUUUAAGCUGCUUUGUAAUACAGUAAUGUCAUACUGCUUGAUGGUAUUGGAAACAUUUUUGGUUUUGUUACCGCUGGUAUUUAUUUCUUGUCAAAAUUUAGUAUAGAACUACACAAUAAUGAAGUGGGUGUUGCAGCUGACUAUCAAAUUUUUAUCACUUCAACUAUUACAAAAUAACUUGCUCUCUAGUCCAAUGGUUUAGCAUUUACUUUAUUAAAUAGAGUACUGAAAAAUAUGGAUUUUUCUAACCACAAUUCUUUCAGAUUUUGUAACUGGUGUCCUUGUAGCAUGUUACAAAAAUGGACUAUGCUUUCUGUAUAUGUAAUUUUUAAAAUCGCAUUUGUCUAAUUUGCUCUGAUAUACAUUUUGUUUUACAAAAUACAGAUGUGCAAUAAUGUUUAAAGGUUUACUGACUGGUGCAGUUCAUUUUUUAAAUGGCCUUUUUUUCAUUAAUUCUAUCAUUCAUUAACUACCUUUAAUUAUUAUUUUUAUUUUGUGUACUAAUUGGUCCUGAAAAAUAAAGUUUAUCUUUCCAA